UGACUUUUCAUCCAGUGUCCAGCCUCUGGCCCCAGAGCACCUAAUGCACCCGUUGGUCAUGGAGCUCAUGGGAUGGGCUUGUUCCCGUGUCUGCUUGGCCAACUUCACUGAACUCCUGGAAAGCAGGAAGAACACAGAUUUAUCUUAACUGAGUGCCUACCACAUUCCACAGGAGGAACUGUCCGCUCACACAAGCCUCUCCAGCUCGCUGGGUUCAUUCAGGCAGGGAUCCUGGCCACCUUCAACAUGGCAUCCCCAGUACCUGGCCCAGCACCAAGUGCACAGAGAGCACCUAAGAAGUAAGAAAAUCGACACAGAGACACAUUCAACUUGCACAUAGGAAGUGGCCAAGCAGGACUGGCCUGAGCCCUGCUGUUUGGCUCUGGAUGCCGCCUCUCGCCCAGAGCCUCCCCUGCUGUGUAACCUGUCGUCCCUGCCUCCUGUGACCGAGCCCCCUUCCACCCAUCAUGUAUUUAUUGAUCAGUCUCUCCAUCCCAGCACCGUGCCAGUGGGGGCCGGGGGGCGGGGGGGAGCGAGGCCAGACCCCGCCCCUGCGGACUUUACAGGCUGUCAAGUUGAGUCCAUUGUCCCUAGGACAUCGCUCGACCUUGGAGUAUGGGCACAAGAGCCCUGGCUUUCUGGGGUUUUGGGGAGGAUGGUGUGACUCAAACCUAUGAGAGCCAUGGCUGGUCACACAGGGAAGUGGGGGGCUGUCCCCACGUGAAGCUCCCUCCAACCCACACCACCUUGAUCCCUGGAGCCGGGGUGGGGGAGGGGCUGGCUGUCAAGUGGAGAGUGGGAGAAGCAGCCCUUCAGGCCCCGAUGCUCCCGGCCUUGAGUCUUGGCUUUGGCACCGUAACUGUCCUAGACGCAGGAUUUCGGGCACGCCUUGCUGAGUUCUUCCUCUGCAAACCAGGAAUGACGAAUAUCAUCCUUGUGGUGUCCUUGUGGUUGUUAUAUGAAGUAACAAGGUUGAGCGCUUGGCACAGGAGAGGGGUCUUUGUAAAAAUCUCAUUUCCUGUCCUCAAGAGGAAUCAGAAGUCCACACAAACCCAGGGAUCAGCACAUCUGGAGUUUUGGCAUCUUGCCUUCUCCCAAGGAAGGCGUGGGCCCGAGAGGCUACUUCUUUUGCUUCCUCUCUUUGUUCCUUGAGAAAGAAGGGUGUACUUCCCAGCUGCCGUGCAGGGGGCUCCAUGUUGGGUGUCCCGGUGCCCCACGGAGGGCUCUGUCUGGUCUCUGGUCACCCAGGGCACUUUGAGAGUCAGUUGGUAGGUGGGGGGCACUGGGGCUUCCUCUCUGCACCCUGAGACCUCCCCAGAAACUAGAGGGCUGGCGGGGAGCGGGGGGCCGAGUGGCUGUCAAGUGGCUGGGAAGCCCUGUCUGACCCAGCCUCCUCCAAGGUCUAGGGGUGUCCUGGCUCCCUCUCCAUCUCCUCCCCUCCCCUCCCUUCCUCUGCCCUGCUGCUCUGGAUGCCUCUGCUGUUCCUAUCCAGAGGCCAGGGACCAGAAUGCGGGCAGCAGGACAGUGAGCAGGGGCUGCUCAGGACUCUGGCUAGCGGGUGACGUCACCCCUCCCCUUCCACUAACUCCCCGACAAGGUCAUGGUGCCCGGAGCCUCAUAUCAUGGUCAGCCAAUGUUAAUGCCUCUCCACCGGGUGCUUCCAUGCACAUUACCCCCGACACCGUAGUCACAACUGCCCCUCCAUUUCAGAGAUAGGGAAACUAAGUCUCAGCAGCAAGGUGAGACGGUACCCUACCAAGGUCUUGCAGCAAGA